GAGGGAAAGGUGAAAAGCACCCCGACGAGGGGAGUGAAACAGUACCUGAAACCGAACGCCUACAAUCAGUCGGAGCUUGACUGGACUCUAAUGACAAUCUGGGCCAUGACCCUGUGAAAACAGGAGAUUAUCAUGGCUGAUGGAACCUUCGCGGUGCUUCUGAUCGUGCUCGGCCUGGCCGACAUGAACGGAAACCACUGCGGAACGGACGGCGGCUGCCUGGGGCGGUCGGACGUCCAGCCACGCCUGGCCAUCUCGGCCGGCGAAGUGGUCGAACGGCGUGCCAAGCCAGCCGCGGAAACCUACCUGCGUUAUGAUACGGGCCAAAAGAUCGGUCCCUUCGGACAGGCAGUUGGUCUCUCGGUCGGCGAGAAGGGCGAAACCUGGGCGGGCUACGGGGCGACCUACAGGAUCGGUCUGUGGAACACGCCACUCUAUGCGGAGCUGCACACCAUGCCGGGGAUCUACCUCGGCAAUGGCGGCUUCGACCUCGGUGGACCGAUCGAGUUUAGGUCGGGGAUCGAACUGGGGUGGGAAAACGACCGCGGCUGGCGCUUCGCCGUCAGUUACGAUCACCGCUCGAACGCGGAGAUCUACGACAACAACCCGGGCAUCGAGACGGUGCAGUUCCGGGUCAGCGUUCCAACCAGAUAGAUUGUUAUCAGUGUCCAGUCUUGUGACGGCGUACCUUUUGUAUAAUGGGUCAUCGACUUGGUCUAUCUAGCAAGCUUAAGCCGAUAGGUGUAGGCGCAG
rnacentral:rRNA from 1 species